rnacentral:snRNA from 1 species
AACUUUGUGCAGUGGCAGUAUCGGAGCCAAAGAGGUUUAUCCGAGGUGCGAUUAUUGCUAAUUGAAAAAAAAAAAAAAAGGAUCCAGGCUGGCCAACAAAAGGCCCUGCACCUAAUCAUUCUGUGAACUGCUCCUCUAGAGACUGCAG